CAAAACUGCUGGUCUUCUGGAGGGGGAAACCUUGCAUCAGUGUACAACGCAGAGCAGGCCAAUGAUAUUCAUAGGAUGAUGAAGCGUGCCGGACAUGAGCGUGGACAAGUAUGGGUCGGGGGCCAUAAUACAGCAGAGGAUCCUUCUUGGUCCUGGAGCGAUCAUUUGUCCUUUGAUAUAUUUCAUCAAUGGUGUCAUGUGGAGCCUGCAAAGCACGAGCACCACUGUUUACAACUAAACUUUGGAGAAAAUAUUUCGGGAUGCUUGGAUGACAAGGACUGUGAAGCUCAACUCCCAUCUGUCUGUGGUAAAAUUAUCAUGUGAUUGCAGAGCAGACAUGAUCAGUCUCAUCAAUAACCUCAAUUUCCCAUCUUUAUUUCCUUUCUGUCAUUGUAACGCCUCCUUUAAGGAACGAAGCGACAAGUGAAAUAAACUGGAGCUGGACUGUCUGUUAAUGGAAAAGAAGGAUUUUAGCACAACUUCACUCUGUAGACUGAACUCUUCUUUCUUGUCUGAUGCAAAAUAAAAAGUUUCAGUACUGAAAG